rnacentral:rRNA from 1 species
UACGGGGGGUGCGAGCGUUGUCCGGAAUCACUGGGCGUAAAGGGCGCGUAGGCGGCACGGCAAGUCGGGAGUGAAAGCCCGGGGCUCAACCCCGGAGGGUCUUCCGAAACUGCCGAGCUAGAGUGCGGAAGAGGCAACCGGAAUUCCCAGUGUAGUGGUGAAAUGCGUAGAUAUUGGGAAGAACACCAGAGGCGAAGGCGGGUUGCUGGGCCGACACUGACGCUGAGGCGCGAAAGCCAGGGGAGCAAACGGG